GCCUGGGUGGCUCAGUCGGUUGGGCGUCUGACUUUGCCUCAGGUCAUUAUCUCACAGCUCGUGAGUUCGAGCCCCACGUCAGGCU
rnacentral:tRNA from 1 species